rnacentral:rRNA from 1 species
UCCCUAGGUGAACCUGCGGAAGGAUCAUUAGUGAAAUUUUUAGAGUUCGGACGCUUUGCAAAAAGUUGACGGCUCGCUCACUUAAAUCUUUUACACACUUGUGCACUUGUCUUAAAAAAUUCUUCGAUUGUCAAAGUCGAUUAGAAAACUUUUUAACACUUUUGUAUACUUGAUUAUAAAAAAGUCAUUGUGAAAAAAUGAUAAAGAAAGAAAAACUUUCAGCAAAGGAUCUCUUGGCUCUCGCAUCGAUGAAGAACGCAGCGAAACGCGAAAAGUAAAGUGAAAUGCAGAAAUUUGUGAAACAUCGAAACUUUGAACGCACCUUGCGCUUUCGGGUUAUUCCUGGAAGCAUGCUUGUUUGAGUGUCGCGUACCUCUCAACCCCCCUCUCUUUAAAUAGAAAGUAGUUUAGGGCUUGGAUCGUGCUGCGUGUGGUUAAGUCCACUGCGGUGAAAAACAACAAGCUGGAUCCUUAUCUUGCGGCUUGACCCGUUGUUAUAAACUUGAAAACCAAAGGGAACGCAACUAAAGGAAAGGGCUUACCAUAAAAUUAUUACUACAAGUGCAUUUUGACCUCAAAACAAGUAGGACUACCCCCUGAACUUAAGCAUAUCAAAAAGCGGAGGA